rnacentral:rRNA from 1 species
UACGGAGGGUGCGAGCGUUAAUCGGAAUAACUGGGCGUAAAGGGCACGCAGGCGGUGUUUUAAGUCAGAUGUGAAAUCCCCGGGCUUAACCUGGGAAUAGCAUUUCGGACUGGGAGUCUAGAGUACUUUAGGGAGGGGUAGAAUUCCUGGUGUAGCGGUGAAAUGCGUAGAGAUGUGGAGGAAUACCGAAGGCGAAGGCAGCCCCCUGGGAAUGUACUGACGCUCAUGUGCGAAAGCGUGGGGAGCAAACAGG